rnacentral:rRNA from 1 species
CCCUUAGAUGUUCUGGGCCGCACGCGUGCUACACUGAGUGGAUCAGCGGGUCAGGUUGCGCGAAAGUGUUUCCUAAUCUUGAAAUCCGCUCGUGAUGGGGAUUGACGGUUGCAAUUUUCCGUCAUGAACGAGGAAUACCUUGUAAGCGCGGGUCAUCAUCCCGCGCUGAAUACGUCCCUGCCCUUUGUACACACCGCCCGUCGCUCCUACCGAUUGAGUGGUCCGGUGGGGCUUUGGGAUCUGGGCGGAAAGAGCGUUUCGCUGUUUCUGCCCGGAAAACUCAGUCGAACCUUAUCAUUUAGAGGAAGGAGAAGUCGUAACA